rnacentral:rRNA from 1 species
CCUACGGGAGGCAGCAGUGGGGAAUUUUGGACAAUGGGGGAAACCCUGAUCCAGCCAUGCCGCGUGUCUGAAGAAGGCCUUCGGGUUGUAAAGGACUUUUGUCCGGGAGGAAACCCUGAUCGUUAAUAGCGGUCGGGACUGACAGUACCGGAAGAAUAAGCCCCGGGUAUCUACGUGCCUGCUGCCGGGGUAAUACGUAGGGUGCAAGCGUUCGUCGAAACCACUGGGCGUAAAGCGUGCCCAGGCGGUGAGAUAA